GCCCGGGUGGCGGAAUUGGCAGACGCGGAGGACUCAAAAUCCUCUGACCGAAAGGUCGUGCGGGUUCAAGUCCCGCCCCGGGCACGA
rnacentral:tRNA from 3 species